UACGGAGGGUGCAAGCGUUGUCCGGAAUCACUGGGCGUAAAGGGCGCGUAGGCGGCUCAUGAAGGCUGCGGUGAAAGUCCGGGGCUCAACCUCGGAUCGGCCGUGGCGACUCGUGGGCUGGAGCACUGUAGAGGCGGGUGGAAUUCCGGGUGUAGCGGUGGAAUGCGUAGAGAUCGGGAGGAACACCGGUGGCGAAGGCGGCCGGCUGGGGGUGCCCUGACGCUGAGGCGCGAAAGCGUGGGGAGCGAACCGG
rnacentral:rRNA from 1 species